rnacentral:rRNA from 1 species
AACGAACGCUGGCGGCAUGCCUAACACAUGCAAGUCGAACGAGACCUUCGGGUCUAGUUGCGCACGGGUGCGUAACGCGUGGGAAUCUACCCUCAGGUUCGGAAUAACUCAGAGAAAUUUGAGCUAAUACCGGAUGAUGACGUAAGUCCAAAGAUUUAUCGCCUGAGGAUGAGCCCGCUUAGGCUUAGGUAGUUGGUGAGGUAAAGGCUCACCACGCCUACGAUCCUUAGCUGGUCUGAGAGGAUGGGCAGCCACACUGGGACGAGGACACGGUCCAGAAUCUUACGGGAGGGAGCAGAGGGGAAUAUUGGAAAAUGGGGGGAAGGCUGAUCCAGCAAGGGCGCGUGAGUGAUGAAGGUCUUAGAGUAGUAAAGCUCGUUUACCCGGGAUGAUAAUGACAGUACCGGAAGAAUAAGCACCGGCUAACUCCGUG